AUUCGUUCGUUAGUGUCCAUCAUUUACAAAAAAACUCUCAUUUUUAGAUCAGUGCCAAGUUUAGUGUUUACAGUGAUUUCACAGGAUUUUAACCAACCAUAAUUACGUUGACCAAAGGUUCAUUUGUCCAGAAAUAUGACUCGUCAAAUUUUAAACAUAAUCUUUGCAUGUUUGAUUGCUUCCACAUUUUAUCAUGAUUACGUUGUUGCCAGUAGACUGAAGAAGAAGAUUCUGCUCAAAGGUUUAGUUGGAGCUGGAUUACUUGUUAAAUAUCUGAAACCAAAGAAAGGAAUACUUCCAUUCCCCAUUCCUUUGCCAUUGCCUUUACCAAUUGAAUGGGAACAACCACCAAUAAUUGUUCAUUCAAAACACCAUCAUGUACCCAUUCCACAACCAGUACCGAUGCCGGUUCACACACCAGUUCAUGUUCCGAGUCGAACACCAUCCUGUGAUCUUAAUCCAGGAUCAACUUUUGAGUUGAAAGGUGAACUGGUUUCAUCACCUAAACACUCAUCAGCUAAGCUUUAUCUUCACCCAUGUACCAAAAAUAUCCUCCAUCUAACUAAUCACAUUGUCAUGGAUCCAAAUUCUGGCAGGUUGGCCGCUAGACAAGAUCUAGUCAAAGGAAAUGGAGUUAGGCGAUUGAGUAGGGAGAGUUAUAUUCACCAAAAUCACCAUCAUAAUGUGCAACACCGUCCAAUGACAUCAUCUUAAUAAUCAGGAUUCAUCAUCACUCUAAAUACCUAGUAUCUGAAAGCUAUCAAACUCCAGAUUUUGCUCCAUACAAUGGUGCUAAUUCAGGAGGAAAUUAUGGCAAUCCAUACGAAAACAACUAUGGAAGCAGCUACGGUGGUGGUUAUGGAGGAAAUUUCGGAAGCUUUGAGGAUAGUUAUAGUGGAUCUGACGGAUGGGGAGAAACUGGCGGACAAGGUGACGAUGGUGGUUAUUAGAAUCGCACUUGGCUAACAUCUUAAUUUUUAUUUCAUUCAAACUCUCAUACCUCAUUUUUUUAUCGUAAAUUGUUUUACACUUUUACCAUUAUCAUCUCAAUCAUCACCUUCACUAACCACCUCUUCAUCCUCAUCUUCAUCUCAUUUGACUUUGACCACCGUUGCCAAUUGCUUGUAAUGCGCCAUUCUCCAAAUCCAUCACAUUCAAAGCCAUUAAAUUAAAUCUCAUCAUAUUUUUUAAA